rnacentral:lncRNA from 1 species
UUCCUGCAAUGAUGUGCAGUUAGUUCUCUGUCUAAUGACUAAUUUUAUUAUUUUUCUUCGUCUUCUAGCUCUGGAUGGUGAUUGCCGUUCUUUUCAUCCAAGUUCGGUUCGAGGAAGGUGAAGGCAUGAGCGUGAACAUCGGCAUCAGCGUGCGGGGAACCACAAGUUCGUUAGGGCGGCUAAUAUCCGCUUCGCGAGUCUCUCGAGCCUCUACAAUAAAUCGAAGGGCGUCACUUACGCGGCAUGCAUCUCCUUUGGUCCACUAAUCGCUGUUGCUGCCGCUGCGGUUCAAUGCAUCGAGCUUCACUACAAAUAACACUACAUACCUGCACUCAAAGUCAGAAGCAAAAAAACAAAUCGGCGGUGCGGCGACAUCCGAUACGUUGAUAGAUCUGGAGAUCGGUAUCAUAGCGGCGGAGUAGAAGCAAAGCAGAUCCGAGCCGAGGUGAUCCGAGCCCUGCAGAUGUGCCGUCACGCAGAGAAAACGAGCGAAACUGUUAAAUCAAGCAUGGAUCAGUGAUCACCUAUAUUCGUAUCUACGAAAGUUACAUGGACGUACUGUUAGGUGUAGCUUAAUUAUUUCAACGGUUUAGAUUGUUCGAGAAAGCAAAAG